rnacentral:rRNA from 1 species
UUUGAUGGCGACCGGCGCACGGGUGAGUAACACGUAUCCAACCUGCCGAUGACUCGGGGAUAGCCUUUCGAAAGAAAGAUUAAUACCCGAUGGCAUAGUUCUUCCGCAUGGUGGGAACUAUUAAAGAAUUUCGGUCAUCGAUGGGGAUGCGUUCCAUUAGGUUGUUGGCGGGGUAACGGCCCACCAAGCCUUCGAUGGAUAGGGGUUCUGAGAGGAAGGUCCCCCACACUGGUACUGAGACACGGACCAGACUCCUACGGGAGGCAGCAUG